rnacentral:tRNA from 1 species
CGGGAUGUAGUAUAUGGGUAUUAUGCCGGGCUGGGGGUCCGGCGAACCGGGUUCAAGCCCCGGCGUCCCGA